GUCUAUGGCCAAGCUACCCUGAACACGCUUGAUCCCGUCUGAUCUCCAGUUGGGCCUGGUUAGUACUUGGAUGGGAGACCACCUAGGAGGACCAGGUGCUGUAUGCA
rnacentral:rRNA from 1 species